rnacentral:lncRNA from 1 species
CAGCAGAACACUCCCUCUUCCCGUGUUCUGAACAGUCCCAAGGUUUUCCAGGGUAACAAGAUAGAGAAAAUUUUAUAAUAAUUGACAACAGAGUUUCUUUAAGGGAAAAGAGUCUUUGGUUCCAAGAGAUGACUGAUGGGUGCUUGGGGAGAGGAGCCUGGACUGGCACCCAGGCCCCUGGGGCAAAGGCAGCUGCUGGGCAUGAUAAGUGGAUGAAUGGAAUCUAGAAGUGAAGACAGGAAGUGGAGGGAGAGAGCAGAAACCUGCCUGGGGUGGUUCAGUAAAGUUUAUAAAACUGAGCAAGAGCUGGGUGAAGGAUAUUUUCAUUUGAUUGCAGAAAAGGAAGAAAGUACCGGAUUCCACACUGGGAUUGAUAUGUGUGGGACAAAGGUAGCUGGUUCAGAAAUUGGAGCUGAAAACCUUGAGAAGAGGUCCCUUGGAAGUGGCAGCAAUCUGGAGGAGAGCUUUGGGUUUCCAAAGGCCACAGAAUGGGUGGGAGGCACAAAGGCUUCUGCUCUAGAACUCCCUUCUUCUUACUCCUGAAAUGUUGGAUGAUGCUAUGGGAAACAGAUGAGUUUGUCCAGGGAACCAUGUGGAGUACGAACAGAGGGAAGGCAAGAAAGGAACUCGUCAAACGGAUCGAAGAUAAGAGAUGGAUGGGCCCGGGACAUCUUCCCCAGUGGCUCUUGUCCACGGGACACCUGGCUUGUACCCACAGAAAGUUGGCUUCCAGCCAUGCUUGAGUGAGAACAGUGAGGGCCCUUGCCUUCCUACAGUGAGUACUCGAUAAAUGAUCACUGCCAUUGUCACAUAAUAAUGUGGCUAUUAUGAUCAUGGACAGAGCAAAAAUAAGUGACUAUUUUUCAAGAGUCUAUUUGGUGUAGACUUCUCCAGAGGCAGAACUGUGGAAUAAAAUUAUUUCUAGUGGUCCCUCCCAGCCCCUUGGCUCCAUAAUUCUCCCACUUUAAUAUGUGACUAGUAAUUAAGAACUAUCUUGAAAUUUUGAUUUCUGGCCCAGAGUCUAUCAUUAUACUUCCAAAUUUUAUUGAGAAAAUAUUUGAAGCCAAAGAGAGAUUUUCAAUUUGUUGACUUUAAAAGAAGCAUUAUUCAUAUUCAUCCAACAAAUAUUC